GGAGAGAGAAUUAGAAUCAAGCAAGCAAUCAAUCAACCGCUGAAUUUGGAACUUUAUUUUACGUUGUCUUCACCUCGUGAGGUGGCUUGAAGGCUUCAGUUAAAGUCGUUCUCACUUGUCUUUUAUUGAACCAUGUUCUAACCGGGAUGAGGCUUCUCGCGACGAGGCGUGUAUUUUCCAAGAGCUUGGCAGUAGAAAAAGGUGUCUCAGGGAAUGAACUUUGUCAUUUGAUCCUCCAAGAUUUGACCUGCGACGGCAUGAGGAAGCCUCAGCGACGGGCCCCGAGGGGGGGUUGAGGGUCCGCGUGUCGUAGCGACACCGGAAUGUAAACAAAGUCUGUCUCCCCGGUCGGACCGGUUCCGCCACGGAGCCGACCAAUCGGGACGCAGACACGUACCUCACCACCGAGGCCCAGAGGGUUAAACAACGUAGUCACCGCCAGGGUCAUGUGACAGUGGCCGCGCCGUGUUUAGGGAACUGGAGAAGAGGAAGAGGUCUGGGGAGGAAGUGUUCGAAUUGGAUUCGUACGACCGGUGCUGCCGGGUGUGAAGCCGCCGACGUGCCUGGUAUCGCAUGGUGUCCCGGUCUGCACGUUCAUAGAUCACCUCACAGAGUGAUGCCUGACGAAUGCACGAGUGUGUGUUUUGCUACGGGGGUCGUAACUCGACUGAUGGUAACCACGGUAACACUGAAAAGAGUCCAACAGGAACAGCCUUCCAACCGAGGGCCGUUUGGAGACGUCUGGCGUUCAGAGGAUGUGGUCUCUGUAGCGUCUCGUGGUCCUCAAGUCACACCAGACAGCAGGGCGGGAGAGGUUAUGGUCAUUCGGUUUGGAUGUCGAAUAUAGUGAAGAAAUAAUGAUAUACAAAACUUGGAUAUAUUUUUGGCCAACCUUAUAGAAUGUCAAGAAUGUCAAGAACAUGACAUUAUUUAAACAAUCAACAAGACAAAGACUUUCUUUUCUCUGUUCAUGGUGUCCGUGGCGGUCAUAGAAAAGUGUCUCUGGUCCUCAGUACAACCGUAUUGUCUGAGCCCAUAUUUGCCUCUUAAUAUUCUCUGUUUGUUUAAAUGAUUGCCUCUCCUUUCAUAGCCGUCCCUUAUCUGUGGGGCGCUGUAAACGGCUCGGUGCCGCUGUCACGUUUAUGGCAGGUAGAUUAGUGAGCGUGCUACCAUGUUUGCUCUCCAUCUGAGAGCGCCGGGCCACGGCUGGGACCGCCUGGGG
ensembl:lncRNA